AUUGAACGCUGGCGGCAUGCCUUACACAUGCAAGUCGAACGGUAACGGGCCUUCGGGUGCCGACGAGUGGCGAGCGGGUGAGUAAUACAUCGGAACGUGCCCGAUCGUGGGGGAUAACGAGGCGAAAGCUUUGCUAAUACCGCAUACGAUCUACGGAUGAAAGCAGGGGACCGCAAGGCCUUGCGCGGACGGAGCGGCCGAUGGCAGAUUAGGUAGUUGGUGGGAUAAAAGCUUACCAAGCCGACGAUCUGUAGCUGGUCUGAGAGGAUGAUCAGCCACACUGGGACUGAGACACGGCCCAGACUCCUACGGGAGGCAGCAGUGGGGAAUUUUGGACAAUGGGCGCAAGCCUGAUCCAGCCAUGCCGCGUGCAGGAUGAAGGCCUUCGGGUUGUAAACUGCUUUUGUACGGAACGAAAAGCCUUCUUUUAAUACAGGAGGGUCAUGACGGUACCGGAAGAAUAAGCACCGGCUAACUACGUG
rnacentral:rRNA from 1 species